CUGAUGCAGCGACGCCGCGUGAGGGAUGGAGGCCUUCGGGUUGUGAACCUCUUUCGCUCAUGGUCAAGCCGCAACUGUGGGUUGUGGUGAGGGUAGUGGGUAAAGAAGCGCCGGCUAACUACGUGCCAGCAGCCGCGGUAAUACGUAGGGCGCGAGCGUUGUCCGGAAUUAUUGGGCGUAAAGGGCUUGUAGGCGGUUGGUCGCGUCUGCCGUGAAAUCCUCUGGCUUAACUGGGGGCGUGCGGUGGGUACGGGCUGACUUGAGUGCGGUAGGGGAGACUGGAACUCCUGGUGUAGCGGUGGAAUGCGCAGAUAUCAGGAAGAACACCGGUGGCGAAGGCGGGUCUCUGGGCCGUUACUGACGCUGAGGAGCGAAAGCGUGGGGAGCGAACA
rnacentral:rRNA from 1 species